CAUUACGUACUCUAGUAUGGCAAAAAUAAACUCCAUUUGAGGCAGGCAGAUCCCCCACAGCAUCACUGCCAAGCAGCUCUCUACUGCUAGCUCAGCCGUACUGAAGACUUCAAUCGACUGCAGAGAUGGAUGUAUUACCCGUUAGCUGCAAAGACAUGGUGCUCUUCAGUGGCUUUAAAAUAUAUCAUCCUAGGAAAUCAGUUUUUGGUGAAGGACUGUAGCACACUGAAGUGAUGAGUAGAGGCGUCAAAAUCACAGUCCUUUUGGAAAUUGCAGCUGAUUUGGGACUGCCAUAUUCCAGCAUACUGUGAAGACAUUACCGUUUGCAGCCAUCUACCGUGAUGGACUGAAAACUUGGUUGUUCAAGRACUGAUACAGGAGGAGAUAAGAUGUCCUUGUUCUGGGAACAGAGCUGAAGUGUCUGACUGYCUGUCUCUGUCUCUCUGUCUCUGUCUCUCUCCCUCUCUCUCUCGUGUGUAGGGKUUUUUUUGUUUGUUUUGUUUUAUUUUACUUUAAGCUACUACCACAUGGUGAGGGCAGAGAUACUGUUUUAAGGCUAGUAAACUGAAAGCUGAUGAUAGUGUCAGCUGGAAUGUGUUUUCUGCCUGUUCAUGUUGUAUCUUGGCAAUUUGGUGAAUCCAAAAGAGUAACAUAAGGCUCAAUUC
rnacentral:lncRNA from 1 species